CCCUUAGAUGUUCUGGGCCGCACGCGCGCUACACUGACGAAGUCAGCGAGCAUCUCCUUCGCCGAAAGGUGCGGGGAAUCUUGUGAAACUUUGUCGUGCUGGGGAUUGAUUUUUGAAAUUCUUGAUCAUCAACGAGGAAUUCCUAGUAAGCGCAAGUCAGCAGCUUGCGUUGAUUACGUCCCUGCCCUUUGUACACACCGCCCGUCGCUACUACCGAUUGAGUGAUCCGGUGAGGCUUUGGGAUCUGAGCGGAAAGAGCGUUUCGCUGUUUCUGCUCGGAAAACUCAGUCGAACCUUAUCAUUUAGAGGAAGGAGAAGUCGUAACA
rnacentral:rRNA from 1 species